GGGGAUGUGGUUUAGUGGUAUAAUACUCCCUUAGCAGGUUCCUCGGCCCUUAUGUGGGAGUGGUCCAGGGUUCGAUUCCCUGCAUCUCCA